rnacentral:rRNA from 1 species
CAGCCGCCGCGGGAAUACGAAGGGUGCAAGCGUUAAUCGGAAUUACUGGGCGUAAAGCGUGCGUAGGCGGUGAGUUAAGUCUGCUGUGAAAUCCCCGGGCUCAACCUGGGAAUGGCAGUGGAUACUGGCUCGCUAGAGUGUGUCAGAGGAUGGUGGAAUUCCCGGUGUAGCGGUGAAAUGCGUAGAGAUCGGGAGGAACAUCAGUGGCGAAGGCGGCCAUCUGGGACAACACUGACGCUGAGGCACGAAAGCGUGGGGAGCAAACGGGAUUAGAUACCCGUGUAGUCCCUGUCUCUUAUAC